rnacentral:piRNA from 1 species
UUGAGAAGGAACCGGCCUCAUUCAGUGGUU